UUGCGGCUAUAUUUCUUUGAAACAUCGGUUCUCGUCCGAUCACCAAAGUUAAGCAACGUCCAUCCUGGUCAGUACUUACAUGAAUGACCACUUAGAAUAUCAGGUGUUGCAAG